AACGAACGCUGGCGGCAGGCUUAACACAUGCGAGUCGAGCGAGACCUUCGGGUCUAGCGGCGGACGGGUGAGUAACGCGUGGGAACGUGCCCUUCUCUACGGAAUAGCCCCGGGAAACUGGGAGUAAUACCGUAUACGCCCUUUGGGGGAAAGAUUUAUCGGAGAAGGAUCGGCCCGCGUUGGAUUAGGUAGUUGGUUGGGUAAUGGCCCACCAAGCCGACGAUCCAUAGCUGGUUUGAGAGGAUGAUCAGCCACACUGGGACUGAGACACGGCCCAGACUCCUACGGGAGGCAGCAGUGGGGAAUCUUAGACAAUGGGGGCAACCCUGAUCUAGCCAUGCCGCGUGAGUGAUGAAGGCCUUAGGGUUGUAAAGCUCUUUCAGCUGGGAAGAUAAUGACGGUACCAGCAGAAGAAGCCCCGGCUAACUCCGUG
rnacentral:rRNA from 1 species